CUGGGGAUUUCUGCAAUACUUCCAGUUGUUUGUAUCUGAAAAACUGGUAGAAUUCAUUGUUGAAAAAACAAACAACUAUUGGAGACAAAUAAAUUCUGAUGACCUUACAGCUGGAACAGACCUGAAUGAAUUUUUUGUAGCGACACAUGAGUCAGAAGAUAAUUCAAAUCAUGUUGUUGUUUUGCCUCGGAGUAUCAAAAUCGUUAGGAUACAAGUAAUGUAAGAACAAAUAAACUCUGGACAAAACAAUGUCGCCGCUACAUGCAACCGUCGAAUGAAGACGAAUUCAAAUUUUCCGACUUCCCCUCGACCAGUAUAAAUAAACGGACGCGAUCGCGAGCAGAGAGUACAUACCGAAUAUCUAACAGUAUCUACAGUAUAUCCGAGUAUCACGAGUAUCUAUGAAUUGCGCGAUGAGCAUUAACGAGUAUUUAUCCGUGAUUUUAUUUUGUGAUUUAUACUUUGUACUAACGACUCAUGUAUACAGGUUGUACAUUAAUUUAUUAUUUUAAAUAUAUUCGACGGUUUCAACAA